UUAAGUGACGAUAGCCUAGGAGAUACACCUGUACCCAUGCCGAACACAGCAGUUAAGCCCUAGAACGCCGGAAGUAGUUGGGGGUUGCCCCCUGUGAGAUAAGGUAGUUGCUUAGC
rnacentral:rRNA from 3 species